rnacentral:rRNA from 1 species
AUUGAACGCUGGCGGCAGGCCUAACACAUGCAAGUCGAACGGUAGCACAGAGAGCUUGCUCUUGGGUGACGAGUGGCGGACGGGUGAGUAAUGUCUGGGAAACUGCCUGAUGGAGGGGGAUAACUACUGGAAACGGUAGCUAAUACCGCAUAACGUCGCAAGACCAAAGAGGGGGACCUUCGGGCCUCUUGCCAUCAGAUGUGCCAGAUGGGAUUAGCUAGUAGGUGGGUAACGGCUCACCUAGGCGACGAUCCCUAGCUGGUCUGAGAGGAUGACCAGCCACACCUGGAACUGAGACACGGUCCAGACUCCUACGGGAGGCAG